AUUCGCCUGCUGCAGAUCAACUGGCUUGAGUGCAGCCUCUCCCGCCAGAUGUGCAGCCCUGAUUGGGCUUGCUGAAAGGGCAAGAAUUGCGAUGAUGAGAAGACUGCCCUGCUCUGUGGCUGUUUGGCGCAGUGAUGCUGCAUAAAAUAUCGAUUUGGUCCUGCCCAUCUGUUUGGUGGCAAAGUGCCCUGCUACUCCCUGAUUGCAGGUCUGCUCUUUCUCCUGGGACCUGCUCUUCCACGCUGAGCGUGCUUAGACUGUUGGGUGACAAUUUUGAUGUGGCUCCCACCGGGACUGACUGGAUGCACGUCUCUGUUGCUCGGAAAACUUGAUAUCGUGGAAGAGGAAU
rnacentral:lncRNA from 1 species